CUUAUACUGCCUCCGUCCGGAAUUACUUGCCGCACAAAUGGAUAAAAAAGGAUGUAUCUAAAACUAAAAUACAUAUAGAUACAUCCAUUUUUAUGACAAGUAUUUCCAGACGGAGGGAGUAUCAU
rfam:Hordeum vulgare subsp. vulgare, WGS project CAJW01000000 data, contig: morex_contig_244445